rnacentral:rRNA from 1 species
UACGAAGGGGGCUAGCGUUGCUCGGAAUCACUGGGCGUAAAGGGGUGCGUAGGCGGGUCUUUUAAGUUCAGGGGUGAAAUCCUGGAGCUCACUCCAGAACUGCCUUUGAUACUGAGGAUCUUGAGUUCGGGAGAGGUGAGUGGAACUGCGAGUGUAGAGGUGAAAUUCGUAGAUAUUCGCAAGAACACCAGUGGCGAAGGCGGCUCACUGGCCCGAUACUGACGGCUGAGGCACGAAAGCGUGGGGAUCAA